AACUUUCAACAACGGAUCUCUUGGUUCCCGCAUCGAUGAAGAACGCAGCGAAACGCGAUAGGUAAUGUGAAUUGCAGAAUUCCGUGAAUCAUCGAAUCUUUGAACGCAUAUUGCGCCUUCCGGUAUUCCGGUAGGCAUGUCUGUUUGAGCGUCAGCAGAAACCCCCUUCGGUAAAGGUGUUUAUAUACUCCUGCCGGUGUUGGGUCAAGAAGGCAGAUAGGUGACGGUAACGUCCUUACCUGCCCCUGCCCUAAACUUGCUGAACAACCGUCAGCCCCUUCGGGCCUGGUUCAAUGGAGUGGUAUUGAUAGUCUUCCAAUGAACCUGCCGGAAGCUCUUGCGGUUUUAAACCUUAGAUCUUCCCCCUUUAUGGUGAAGGCUCUAGAAGUUUUGACCUCAAAUCAGACAAGGAUACCCGCUGAACUUAAGCAUAUCAAUAAGCGGAGGCU
rnacentral:misc_RNA from 1 species